rnacentral:rRNA from 1 species
CGGGACGGGUGAGUAAUGUCUAGGGAAACUGCCUGAUGGGGAGGGGGAUACACUGGAAACGGUAGCUAAUACCGCAUAACGUCGCAAGACCAAAGAGGGGGACCUUCGGGCCUCUUGCCAUCGGAUGUGCCCAGAUGGGAUUAGCUAGUAGGUGGGGUAACGGCUCACCUAGGCGACGAUCCCUAGCUGGUCUGAGAGGAUGACCAGCCACACUGGAACUGAGACACGGUCCAG